GGUGUUGUGAAGCUAACUAGCUCCAGUGCAGCCACUCACAGCGACCCGCCGCUCGGGCUCUGAGCAAAGCGAGGCCUCAUGGAAGAGAGAUCUGGCCAUCCAUCCAUCCCUCCACACUGCGGCGGAUUAACAGCCCCAACAACUUCCCUGGGCAAGUUCUGGCUUCCUCUUGUGAAGUUUCUUCCCGCAGCCUGGAGCAGCCUACUCUCAUCAGUUUCUGUCCCAUCACAAGAGCCAGAGCCCGAGGUAAGUGUGGAAUGACAAGCAGGAGCCACUCUGCUGAAGCAGGAAGGGCCCGUGCUUGGUGUCAGAAGGUGGCGGGAUGCUGCGCUCCAGCUCUGCAUGCCUUUACUCCAUCAGCCACUUCCUUCACCUCCUCGGUCAGCAUUGUCAAAGUCCUUCCAGAAAUAAGAAGAAUAAUACACCAGGUAACGUUCUUCGCAGAACCAGAGCUGCAUAUUGUGAGGUGGGAAUGAGAGCAGCCCAGGUUCUCUGCCACUCCUGAAAACAGAAGUCUACAGAUUAAACCCAGCAUCAGGAGCCAACCAGGAAAUGGUAUGAAGAAUCACAGGGGACUCGGGCCUCCCUCAAACAGCAGGCCACAUCACAGAAGGCUAAUCACCUCCCGUCUGCCCUACCCUCAAAGAGAAAAGGCCAGAAUGGGUCUUGAGGAGACAUCACCCAUGCCGCUGCUGUUUCAGGAGAUGAAAUGGAAAGACAGUCCAUCUUAAUGACAGCAAAGUUUGUGUGUUGAGGAGACCAGGUCCUGUGGCGAACCCUCGAGUCAGGAAUCUAAGCCAUAAGAACCCAUCAGAAGAGGAGACGCCCUGUGCUCUCCCGGCCUUCACAGUGGAGCCACAGGACCCCGUGCCUCCACGUGGGUCAGCAGCACUGCAGUUCUCAGCGGCAGAGACGUUAACUUGACACCCUGCUUGACAGAGGUGCCACCACCUCUCAGUGAAGAAGCCUGCCUAGUGUGUCAGCCACAGCUCCUCUCAGGAACCUUGGUCUCUUCUAUCUGGACUGGUUCUAUGCUGCCUAAGUCAAAUAAAAUGCCAUGUGGAAUCACAGAGGUCCCGAAACCUUCUUGUAACUGACUGAUAUUGAUACGUCUCAAGGUCAUAAGCCCAGAUUUUCAUCUUCAAGGGAUGGAGUGUGGGAGCUUUGGGGAUGACAUGUGAGUGGGGACCUUAUGGAUGGGAUUAAUGUCCAUAAAAGAAAAGCUAUGAGUGCAUGCCCUCUUUCUCCCUCUCUCUCUAUUUCUUUCUCUUUCUCUCUCUCUCUUCUCCCCUCUCCUCUCCUCUCCUCUUUUUUCUUCCUCUCCUCUCUCUUAUCUUCUCUCUGUCCCAGCCUCUCUCUCCUCUCCACUUCUCUAUGUCAGCAAUAAGAUAGCCAGUAGCAACCCAAGAAAAGCUCUCACCAGAACUCAACCAUGCUGGAACCCAGAUCUUGGACUUCUAUCAUCCAGAGCUAUAAGAAAGCACACUUCUAUCAUUGAAGCUCUGGCCUCUGGUGUUUUAUGAUACUUUGACUGACUGAUUGAUCAUCAAUCAAAAAGAUGCAAGAAAUUAGUGACAUGAAAGCACUC